UGGAACAUGGAACCCCCCCCGCCGCCGGUCCAUGGAAAAAAAAAAGGAAUCAAACCGGUCCAUGGUACAUAAAAGGUUGGGGACCCCUGAGUUAGACAGUGUCCCGCCUGUUAACUAUGUUCGUGUCCCAUCUGUUAACUAUGUUCAAGUCCCAUCUGGGGUGCCAUUCUGUAACGUGACUAAUCUGAAUCUUUUAUUUUUAAAUUUAGAGAUUCAUUGUCUCUGGGGUGCCAGGCAGUAUUUGCUGCCAAUUCAAAUGUAGUCACAGUUAGAGCGAAACUAUCACACAAAUCAAACAACACAAACACGUUUUAUACGUUUCAAAUCAUAUAUUGUGAUGGUUUAAAUUAAACCAAAAAUAUUCAUACACAACUUAAAUAAUCGAUAUCCCUCCAUACAAUCAAAAAUAAAAUGCUAUUUAAAUAAAAAGGGAAAGUAUGAAAGAGUCUGAGUCACUGAAGGAAAGUGAGUUGUGGAAUAUGUUGAAUUAGUUGUAUACUGGUGGAAGGGAAACGUGAACUCGGAGAUGAGUGUGGAGUUACCAACGGGAGACUAGCCAGGGGAACUGCAGAGUAGGCCUACGACUUGAACCAGGGAUCUUCGCAACACCUCGACAAGAGAAAGGAAAACAUCUUGCCAUGCUGCUGAUCCAUUCCGUCGUGCGCAACACAAAGUAGUUUGAGCCGGUCCUAUUUUGCUCAGGAUCCGCGCUGCUUCAUAGGAAUUCCUCAAAGGGAUUAAUCCACAAGGGUACGAUCCAGAGGAAUCCAAUGUAACUAUCCAGUGUGAAAUCUCUCUUUAAAAUGCUCCCGCCAUGUCUCACAUGCCCUCGGUAACAACUCUCUCCGAUAGAGCUUCCUGGUAAUUAGCGCUCUCUCCCCGCAGGUUAGGCCAAGCAGCCUUUUAUCGUCAGCUGACUGCGUGACGUUAACAACCCCAAUUGCGUUUAAGCAACCCGGUGGGAUAAGCCUAAAGUAAUAUAUACAUUUUUAUUAUAAAGAAUAUGGAGCGGUCCAUAUACAUAAAUUGUUAUGCUGGUUUGUUUUGUGCUUUGGCAACACUGCAGUCAUGCCAAUAAAGCAACCGUGAGUUGCACUGAAUUGACUGACAGGAAGUGAGUGGAAGAGAGAGAGACGGGUAGACUGUUCACCUGGGAGAGACAGGUGGACUGAUGAGACGGGAGGACUGUGGGCACCUGGGGCAGUUGGGAGGACUGUGGGCACCUGGGAGAGACAGGUGGACUGAUGAGACGGGUGCACUGUGGGCACCUGGGAGAGACCGGUGGACAGCGGGCAUCUGGAGCCAAAGGUGGUAUCUGCGCUGUGGCCCUGUCGUUUAGUGAAACUACUGUACAGUACAUAAGAUUCUGUAUUUUGUCUUGAGGAACAGUUGGAGUUGUUACUCUUUUUUUAAAGGUGCCAUGUGUAAUGUCUGCCAAAAAAUCAAUUCAUACUCCACAUUCCAUAAAAGAUGGGGCAGUAUACCUCCAGAAAGUGAG